rnacentral:rRNA from 1 species
AUUGAACGCUAGCGGGAUGCCUUACACAUGAAAGUCGAACGGAGUGGCGAACGGGUGAGUAAUGUAUCGGAACGUGCCCAGUAGCGGGGGAUAACUACGCGAAAGCGGAGCUAAUACCGCAUACUAUUGGAGCGGCCGAUAUCGGAUUAGCUAGUUGGGGGGGUAACGGCUCACCAAGGCGACGAGCCGUAGCUGGUUUGAGAGGACGACCAGCCACACUGGGGCUUAGGCCCGGCCCAGACUCCUACGGGAUGCAGCAGUUGUGUAUUGUAGACAAGGGGGGAAACCCUGCUCCCGCCAUCCCGCGUGUGCGAUGAAGGCCUUCGGGUUGUAAAGCACUUUUGGCCGGACAGCGGUACCUGCAGAAUAAGCACCGGCUAACUACGUGCCAGCAGCCGCGGUAAUAC